CCAGAGGCCUUUUCCUGAUACCCAGCUUUCUUGGGGAAUUUCCCAAGAAAAAGCCUAAGCUGUGCGGAGUGUUGUGGACGCUGGACUUUUGACUAAACUUGUCGACUGCUUCCAAGUUCAGUGUUGUGUGAAAAUGAAGGAGUGAAGAAGGGAAACACCCAGUAUUUACAUAUUUAACCCAAAAUUCCAUGUAAAUUUUUUAUGGUCGCCUCAUAUCAUUAAGUUCAUCAAAUAUUACACCUUAAUGAAAUGCUGCAUAUUUUUUAUCUUUGUUAGUGGCUCAUGAGUCUGUCUGUACACAAACAGAUGUCGUAAAAGAUGGGGGACAUGUCCCACAACAACUAAAAGUGAUAGUUUAAGAGAGACUGUGUCUGUCUUGGGAAUCGUCAAUGACAAAUUUCAACAUACUAAUGAUCAAAGGUUCCUUGGACUUCUAUUGGUUCGAAUCAUUCCAACCUGGAAACAGUUUGGAGGAGUGUUGUAUUAGUCGUGCCAAUGAAUACUCCAGUAUCUCCUCAGCUAAUAAAGAUAAAUACCAAUUCAUGAAUUGAUUCUUUUUGCACCCCAACAACUUUUAUUUGAUUGAGGCAGGUCUGCGUUCCAUUGAUUUGGAUGACAAUGUGGACAAACAUAAUUGAACAUUUCAAUGGAAUAUUCAACAACAUCUCGCGUGCCAUCAACGUCAACAAAAUGAGAGACAAGGACAAAUUUCACUGACACUACGAGAUGAUGCCCGUUGGCCGGUUCGAUUACACCAACAACACGACGCCGAAAUUCACGUUGACGGACAAGAUUCUGUGGGUGGUGGGCGAACGUGCGCCGCUGGACGAGCCUCCGUGCGGCUACCGGAACGAGCGUUGCAGCGACUCUGACACGCGUCUGAGAGAUUCCCAGAUUGCCGCCGGAGUUCUCGGCUGCAUUUUCCUGGCGGCCGUCAGCACGACUCUCUUUGUCUAUCACAAAUGGAAGGUUGAACAAGAGAUUGCCGGUCUUGUUUGAUGAUCCCAAAGACAUCAUAUCAAUGUCAUCGCAGACUGCCGAUGGCUUCAUGGACAAAUCCACCAGCAAUGAAAAUUGAAUUCCGCCUUUCUUUUUUUUUCUUAAACUAAAUCAUCGCUGCUGCUGCUGGACAGGAAUAUUUUUAUGUUGCGCCCAUUGGACGGGCGUAUAUAGCGUCUACUAUACCGAAAUAGUUACACACAGAGCCAAACCAUCUGUUUCAGGCUUUUAUAUUCCAUUGAACGACUUGGUGUUUUUGGUCAUUAUUUUUGCUUCUAGUCGAUAAAAAGGCCCGUUACCCACGUAGCAACUCAAGUAAAAUUAUUUAUGGGGACACUAGUCAAAUGUAACACCUAAUUGU